UACGGAGGGUGCAAGCGUUAUCCGGAUUCACUGGGUUUAAAGGGUGCGUAGGUGGGUUGGUAAGUCAGUGGUGAAAUCUCCAGGCUUAACUUGGAAACUGCCAUUGAUACUAUCAAUCUUGAAUACCGUGGAGGUCAGCGGAAUAUGUCAUGUAGCGGUGAAAUGCUUAGAUAUGACAUAGAACACCAAUUGCGAAGGCAGCUGGCUACACGAAUAUUGACACUGAUGCACGAAAGCGUGGGGAUCGAACAGG
rnacentral:rRNA from 1 species